rnacentral:rRNA from 2 species
CCCAUAAGACUGGGAUAACUCCGGGAAACCGGGGCUAAUACCGGAUAACAUUUUGAACCGCAUGGUUCGAAAUUGAAAGGCGGCUUCGGCUGUCACUUAUGGAUGGACCCGCGUCGCAUUAGCUAGUUGGUGAGGUAACGGCUCACCAAGGCAACGAUGCGUAGCCGACCUGAGAGGGUGAUCGGCCACACUGGGACUGAGACACGGCCCAGACUCCUACGGGAGGCAGCAGUAGGGAAUCUUCCGCAAUGGACGAAAGUCUGACGGAGCAACGCCGCGUGAGUGAUGAAGGCUUUCGGGUCGUAAAACUCUGUUGUUAGGGAAGAACAAGUGCUAGUUGAAUAAGCUGGCACCUUGACGGUACCUAACCAGAAAGCCACGGCUAACUACGUGCCAGCAGCCGCGGUAAUACGUAGGUGGCAAGCGUUAUCCGGAAUUAUUGGGCGUAAAGCGCGCGCAGGUGGUUUCUUAAGUCUGAUGUGAAAGCCCACGGCUCAACCGUGGAGGGUCAUUGGAAACUGGGAGACUUGAGUGCAGAAGAGGAAAGUGGAAUUCCAUGUGUA